GUGCUUAGAAGUGAGAAUGCCGGUAUGAGUAGCGAAAGACGGGUGAGAAUCCCGUCCACCGAAUGCCUAAGGUUUCCUGAGGAAGGCUCGUCCGCUCAGGGUUAGUCAGGACCUAAGCCGAGGCCGAAAGGCGUAGGCGAUGGACAACAGGUUGAUAUUCCUGUACCACCUCUUUAUCGUUUGAGCAAUGGAGGGACGCAGAAGGAUAGAAGAAGCGUGCGAUUGGUUG
rnacentral:rRNA from 1 species